rnacentral:ncRNA from 1 species
GCUUAAUUUGACUCAACAUGGGAAACCUCACCCAGUCUGGACACGGAAAGGAUUGUCAGAUCGAUAGCUCUUUCUCGAUUCUGUGGGUGGUGGUGCAUGGCUGUUCGUAGUUGGUGGAGCGAUUUGUCUGGUUAAUUCCGAUAACGAAUGAGACUCUGGCAUGCUAACUAGUUAUGCGACCCUCGGGCAGCAUUUAAUGAGUGAAUUGUGUUGGCUUCGACUCAGUCUGGAUCAAGGUUUAUGUGCAAGGCUUUGUGGACAAAUGGUUUAAGUAUUUUAUAUUGUACCGUUAUAAACUUAUUUAUUGUACUAUGUUAAAUUGUUUAAUGGUUUUAAUUGCUUAUAUUUUAUCUCUUUGUACUGUAUAGUGGCACUCAAUUAUGCCAGAUUGUGAGCUGCCCUGAGUCCCUUCAGGUGAGAAGGGCGGCA